rnacentral:tRNA from 1 species
UUCUUUCUGGCAGAAUUGAAUGCUAUAAAUUUAGAAUUUAUAUAUACUUAUUUAAGUGAAAGAAA